GUGGGGAAUAUUGGACAAUGGGCGAAAGCCUGAUCCAGCCAUGCCGCGUGAGUGAUGAAGGCCUUAGGGUUGUAAAGCUCUUUUGUCCGGGAAGAUAAUGACUGUACCGGAAGAAUAAGCCCCGGCUAACUUCGUGCCAGCAGCCGCGGUAAUACGAAGGGGGCUAGCGUUGCUCGGAAUCACUGGGCGUAAAGGGCGCGUAGGCGGACUUUUAAGUCGGAGGUGAAAGCCCAGGGCUCAACCCUGGAAUUGCCUUCGAUACUGGGAGUCUUGAGUUCGGAAGAGGUUGGUGGAACUGCGAGUGUAGAGGUGAAAUUCGUAGAUAUUCGCAAGAACACCGGUGGCGAAGGCGGCCAACUGGUCCGAAACUGACGCUGAGGCGCGAAAGCGUGGGGAGCAAACAGGAUUAGAAACCCCUGUAGUCC
rnacentral:rRNA from 1 species